GGGACCAUAGCUCAACGGUAGAGCGCUCAGCCGAUAAUUGAUUGAUAGUGGUUCAAUUCCACUUGGUCCUA
rnacentral:tRNA from 1 species